AUUUCGUACGUGGGACGGGCGUUGUGGCCAAGCGAAGCCAAUCCACUUAUUUUCCAGCAAAAACUGGCCGGCCCAUUUUCCUUUUUUCUGUCUUAUGUUUCUAUUUUCAUUUUCUGUUCGUUUAUGUUUAUCUUUCUUGUUUCUUUUUUCAUUUUAUUUCCAAGUUUAUUUUUCUUGUUUAACAUAUUUCAUAAAUAAAAAAUUUCAAAACCCAUUCAUAAUUUCAAUUUUUCCUCAAUUUUUUGGAAAGUGUUCAUACUUCCAAAAUUUUGUUCUCGUUUUGAAAAAUCUUUCAGAACUUUUUUCUCAUUUCAAACAUUUUGCAAAAUUCAAUAAAGUUCCUGUUUUUAUGAAAAUGUUUGUGUUUCCAAAAUUGAUUGACCAAAACAAAACUUGCACUUAAAAACAAUCCAUAUUCGAGAAAUGUUUUCUCCGAUUUUUCAUCCAUUCAUCAUCGACAAGAUUUUUCUAUCCAACAUGGUACUAAAUCUAGAAAGGUAAAAUAAAUUGUCUAGAAUUUCAUACGUGGUGUGUGCGCUCUGGCCAGCGAAGUUNNNNNNNNNNNNNNNNNNNNNNNNNNNNNNNNNNNNNNNNNNNNNNNNNNNNNNNNNNNNNNNNNNNNNNNNNNNNNNNNNNNNNNNNNNNNNNNNNNNNNNNNNNNNNNNNNNNNNNNNNNNNNNNNNNNNNNNNNNNNNNNNNNNNNNNNNNNNNNNNNNNNNNNNNNNNNNNNNNNNNNNNNNNNNNNNNNNNNNNNNNNNNNNNNNNNNNNNNNNNNNNNNNNNNNNNNNNNNNNNNNNNNNNNNNNNNNNNNNNNNNNNNNNNNNNNNNNCUUAUUUGCCGUUUGUAGCGGCGAAUCAUGUCUUGCCCAGUUUACAUUUUUCUUUGUUCUGUUUCAGUUUUUUUUUGUUUGUUUCUUUUAUCCUUAAGUUUCUUUUUUAUUUUACCUUCCAAGCUUAUUUUACUUUAUUUUCCUUUUUCAUAAAUUUAAUAUUUUCAAAAAACUUUCAUAACUUCAAAAAAUAAAACAUUUUUUUGAAAAAUGUUCAGAAUUCUAGAACUUUGUUCGCGCUUAAAACAAUGUUCGAAAGUUCAAUUUUUUUUCUCAUUCCAACGAAAUUAAAAAUUUACAAAAUAUCUCCAUUAAAAAUAUGUUUGUGUCUUCCAAAAUAGUUUGAGAUUUUUAAUCAAAAUGUGCUGAAUUCAAAAAUUAUUCUUCUUUUAGUGAAGUGUUCACAAAUUCAAGGUAAUUAUUUUUGAAUAGUCCCACAUUGCACCUUUACAUACAAUAAUACCAAUUUAUAUACAUCCUACAUGUAGUUAGAUGAAAGAUGGGUGGAUUAAGUUGGACGAAGGAUUCCUGGAUUGGUACGUGAACUAACUGGAAAAGGAACCCGAAUUUCUGAAAAUAUUCACAGUUUCUCAAAAAAUGUUGGUGUUUUCAAGAAUUGUUCGAAAUAUUUAACAACAAUGUUCCAAAUUCGAAAAAUAUUUUUGCUUUAGUAAAAUGUUUUCAAAUUCAUAAUAUUUUUUGUGUUUAAAAAGAACAUUUUGUAAAAUUGUCCUGAAUGUUGAAAACAUGUUUCAAUUUAUAAAACUGUUCACAAAUUCAAAAAUAUUGAAGUUUUUAUAAAAGUUUCAUGUUUUCAAAAAAAAUUUGUGAAAUUAAAAAUGUUCAUAUUUCAAAUUUUGUUCAUAUUUUCUGAACAAUGAAUGCAAUUUUCAGAAAAAAAAAACUGUUCGCAUCUUUAAAAUCUCUUCAGGAUGUUAACAAUUAUUCAUGUGUCCAAGAAUAUUUGGCUAUUCAUAAAAAAAUAUUGUUUUUCAAAAAGGUAAAAAAUCAAAAAAAUGAUAUCUGACGUUGCAGUAUGUUCUUAAAUAUUGGCGCUGGCCAUUGGUUAGCAGGACGUGUUUGUUCGAAUGGUUGGCAGCACUUAGUCAAGUCUUUCAGGUCAUGAGUUCAAUCCUUCAACUCAUUUUUUUUGUAUUUUUACUCGCGCCUUACAAAGACAAGUCGUUUCGGUGCCCGGGCCUUUCACAGCCCACGCAACUUAGCCAACCCAACUACCUGGGAAAUAAGGCAAAACAUAUUUUAAAUAGUCUCACAUUGCUACUUUACGUGCAGUCGUACCAAUUUAUAUGCGUGUCCGUGAAACUACAUGUAGUAAGCUGGAUGAAGGAUGGAUGGAAUAGUACAUGAGCUAGCUGGAAAAGACCCUGGAUUUCUUUAAAAAAAAGAAGACCCGACUACUUGAGCUAGAUACAUGAAAAAGAGAAGACCCGCCUCUUCCAUAUUAUGGAACUUCAUACCUUAAAAUCCCCAUGGAAAAAUGGAUUGAAUAACUUGCGGGCAUUCUCUGACGUGUGAUGACCUAACAAAACCCAAGACCUAAAUGUUCAAACAUUAUACCUUAAAUCUCCUUGAUCAAUAAACGGAACAAUAGCAGAUUGAUUACUUCUGACGUGUCUAUACACUUAAUAGAUAGCUAUUUACCUGGGAUUUGAUGACAUACUCAUGAUUUAAGACGAGGGCAUAAGUUGUUUCUCGUACCAUUGCUACUGUGGAAAAGAAACAGCUGACCGAUCAGGUGUACCUCUGUUUUUCAGUUAUGGACAGACACAAUGCUGCAGACAAUGGCAAGCUAAAAAACCAAUAGACUAUAAUCUAUUUGAUGCUAGACAUAAUACAGAACUUGAAAUAUGUACUGGUGAUCAUGCAAAUGCAGAGAGUAUUACAUAUGUUCAACAUGUGUAUUUUUGGGAACAAGAAAAAAUACCUGAUAAGGACUACUCAUCUAUAUCAUCAUCACCAUCUAUAGAUCAUCCGUUGUUUGCAUACUGCACCUGCAUCUUCUUUUCACCAAUCACCCAAAUUACUUUCACUGUCAAACACAUCAAUCAGUGACAUGACAAAUUGACAACUCCUAACUCACCCCAAUCAUUGACCCAACACCAAAAAGGGUCAGAACAGAUAGAUUAUGACAUACCCCGAGCAUUGUCAUGCUGAGAGAAUGCGUCGAUCCGUGGGAGCCAAAGCACUACCUCUGACCCAGAUGUAUUUAUUUAUUCAGUGAUCGACCUCAAUAACAAGUAACUUGCUGAAAUUUAUCAAAACGUCAUAACGAGCAAAGAAAUCCAUGCAGCAUCAAGGUAAUUAUUUUUGAAUAGUCCCACAUUACUCUACAUACAAUCAUACCAAUUUAUAUACGUCCUACAUGUAGCAAGCUAGAUGAAGGAUGGAUGGAUUAAGUUGUACGAAGGAUUCAUGGAUUGGUACGUUAACUAACUGGAAAAGGAACCUGAAUUUCUGAAAAUAUUCACAGUUUCUCAAAAAAUGUUUGUGUUUUCCAGAAUUGUUUGAAUUUUUAACAAUUUUCUUUAGUAAAAUGUUCUCAAAUUCAUAAUAAUUUUUGUGUUUAAAAAGCACAUUUUGUAAAAUUGUCCUGAAUGUUGAAAACAUCUUUCAGUUUUCAAAAACUGUUCACAAAAUUUUAAAAUAUCGAAGUCUAUAUAAAAGUUUUAUGUUUUCAAAAAAUAUUUGUGAAAUUAAAAAAUGUUCCUAUUUCAAAUUUUGUUCAUAUUUUCUGAACAAUGAAUGGAAUUUUCAGAAAAACUGUUCACAUCUUUAAAAUCUGUUCAGGAUUUCAACAAUUAUUCAUGUGUCCAAGAAUAUUUGGUUAUUCGUAAAAAAUAUUGUUUUUCAAAAAGGUAAAAAAUCAAAAAUUAUUUGAAAUCUGAUGCUGGAGUAUGUUCUUAAAUAUUGGCGCUAGCCAUUGGUUAGCAGGACGUGUUUGUUUGAGUGGUCGGCAGUACUUAGUCAAGUCUUUCAGGUCAUGAGUUCAAUCCUUCAACUCGUCUUUUUUUUGUAUUUUUACUCGCGCCUUACAAAGACAAGUCUUUCGGUGCCUGGGCCUUUCACAGCCCACGCAACUUAGCCAACCCAACUACCUGGGAAACAAGGCAAAACAUAUUUUAAAUAGUCUCACAUUGCUAUACUUUACAUGCAGUUGUACCAAUUUAUAUGCGUGUGUGCGAAACUACAUGUAGUAAGCAGGAUGAAGGAUGGACAGACUAGUACAUGAGCUAGCUGGAAAAGACCCUGAAUUUCUUUUAAAAAAGAAAAGAAAACCCGACUAAGUGAGCUAGAUACAUGAAAAAGAGAAGACCCGCCUCUUCCAUAUUAUGGAACUUCGUGCCUUCAAUCCCCAUGGGAAAACGGAUUGCAUAACUUGCGGGCAUUCUCUGACAUGUGAUGACCUAACAAAACCCAAGACCUAAAUGUUCAAACAUCAUACCUUAAUUCUUCUCGAUCAGUAAACGGAACAAUAGCGGAUUGAUUACUUCAGACGUGGCUAUACACUUAAUAUAUAGCUGUAUACCUGGGAUUUGAUAACAUACUCAAGCUUUAAGACGAGGGCAUAAGUUGUUUCUCGUACCCGUGCUAAUGUGGAAAAGAAACAGCUGACCGAUCAGGUGUACCUCUGUUUUUCAGUUAUGGACGGUCACAAUGCUGCAGACAAUGGCAAGCUAAAAAACCAAAAGACUAUAAUCUAUUUGAAGUUGGUCAUAAUACAGAACUUGAAAUAUGUCCUGGUGAUCAUGCAAAUGCAGAGAGUAAUACAUAUGUUGAUCAUGUGUUUUGCUCGGAACAAGAAACAAUACCGGAUAAGGACUUACUCAUCUAUAUCAUCAUCAUCGUCUGUAGAUCAUCCGUUGUUUGCAUACUGCACCUGCAUCUUCUUUCCACCAAGCACCCAAAUUACUUUCACUGCCAAACACAUCAAUCAGUGACAUGACAAAUUUACCAAAACAUCAUAACGAGCAAGGAAAUCCACGCAGCAUCAAGAUCCAGACGAGAUGAGCACAAUGCAGACGGAUCAAAUUGACAUGUAAAGACUGAAUGGAAGGCGAAACAGUUCAGUUUUCAGAUUCCGUUCAGCAACAACCCCGGAUCGAUAAGCGAUACUAACGACAACCAUGAACGAUUACAUACAGGACGCAAUUCGGAAACAUGACAGGCUCCCUCCGAUCCUAUGCAGCCAAGGCUCGCUACUCCUCAUCCGCGGCGGCGGUCUCCUCGGCGUUGGCGGUGUCCUCGGUGGCGGUGGUCUCCUCGGCAGUCUUCUUGGGGGACUUGGCGGUGGUCUUCUUCUUCUUGGUGGUCUUGGUGGACUUGGAGUCCUUGUCGGCUUUCUUGGCGGUCUUCUUGGGGAGCAGCACGGGGUUGAUGUUGGGCAGCACGCCGCCGUGGGCGAUGGUGACGCCGGCGAGCAGCUUGCCGAUCUCCUCGUCGUUGCGGAUCGCGAGCAGCAGGUGGCGAGGGAUGAUGCGCGUCUUCUUGUUGUCCACGGCCGCGUUGCCGGCCAGCUCCAGGACCUGCAGACGCGCAACCAAAAACGAAAUCGGUCAUCUGGUGAGGCGAGCACGAGAGGAACAUGGCCGGAGCCGGACAAGGCAUACGCUCGAGGGCGGGGAAGAUCGACGGCUUACCUCGGCGGCGAGAUACUCGAGGACGGCGGCGAGGUAGACGGGGGCGCCCGACCCGAUGCGCUGCGCAUAGCGGCCCUGCUUGAGGUAGCGCCCGAUGCGGCCGACCGGGAACUGGAGCCCGGCCUUGACGGAUCGCGUCACGGCCUUCUUCCUCUGGCCCUUCCACCUGGCCAUCUUCCCCUUCUUCUUCUCUCCGGCGACGUGGGCAGGAGGGUUUGGCGGCGGCGGCGGCGGCGCUGGAUCGGAUUGCUCUCGCUGCUUCGAUUGGUGGAUUGGAUGGGCGGUGAGGGGCGCGGGUUUUAUAGGCGGGGCGCGAUCUGUGGGAGGGUCUAAUCCACCAAUCAGAACGCACGGAUAUUUUCCCUUUUUUUUUUAGCAUCAGUACAGACACAAGCGCUCAUAUACACGCGCAUACACUCAUCCCUAUGAACACACACACGCACACCCCUACCCCUAUGAGCACCUCCGAAAGACUGAGCCGGCAUAUCAUCUUGAGAUUUACGAAGCCACCGUAGGCGCCUCGUCGUCGACGGGAACGUCUCCUCCCACUGAAAGCGCAUCGCCGGAAAUUCUGAAAUAAAUCCAGGAAUAAUGCGAGCACCAGGAUUUGAACCCUGGUGGGUUGGGGAUACCACUGUCCACCUAACCAACUCAACCACAGGUUGAUUCGCAUAUUUCCUCUUUUCUUGUUUCUUCUUUUCACCGUUUUUCGCCCUGCGAAGUUCGAAAUUUGGGGAACCGGGAGAAUGGAUAAACAUAGAGCGGUGGGCCGUAUUCAUUUACAGCUUGUUUGGCACUUUCGAUCUCAUUUCAUUGGGUUGCAAAUGAAAUGAAAUGAAAUCCCAUUUCUGUAAACCUCCUUUGGCACCCAGCUAGGUUUUCAUUUUAAUUGAUGGAAAUGGAUGAAAACUCAUUCUUACGAGGAUUUCAUUUGGUGGCAUUUUGAUUGCAAUUCAAAUUUUCUUGUCUGGCUGUCAGCGAUUUGUGUAAUGCAUAUGUCAUAUGUUCUUUGGCUCCUAUUUCGAAUUGUAAUCAUAAACGAUCAGCAUGCACAUCUCAAUAUGUACAUUCAGCACAUUUACAAUAUAAAAAGGAUAAUUAACCAAAAAUAAUUGUGCAUAUUUUCAACUAUCGAUAUUAAAAUGAUCUAGCGCAUCAUCUUCACACAUUCAAAUAUGUCAAACAUAAUCAUAUAAAAUGCAGAUCGGAAUAGUGUCAAGAUCUUUGAAAGACCAUUAAAGGGUUAAACUUGCGUUCAUUGAAAACCAGUAUCUUCAAAGGUUCAUACUUUGUAUUAAGCAUGGCAUGGAGGGUAAAAGACUAAAACUUGUCAUUCCAAAUGCAUUAGGAAAAUAUAUGUUUGAAUCCAAAGAAGAGGCUUGAACUUGCAACUGGAUCUUGGUUUGAACUUGGGGCUUAUUUGUUGCCCUGGAAAUAUCAUAGCAAGCAUGUAAGCAAACUUACUAAAGUAGUUAUAAAUAUAAAGCUUCUAAAACACCAUCUUAAUUUAGUAAUUGGCACAAUUGCAAAGCCAUAUAUUUUUUCUAUACAAUAAGCUAUAAUACACCAAGAUCAGCAAAACUGACUUGAUGUCUAAAUACAAAAUUCAUGUCUUGCUGCACUACCACAACUUACAAAGCCAAAACGAUAAGACCUUGGUUCAGACAAGCUACAAAGUUCAUGUCUUGCAAUAGGGAAUUCGGGGACAGAAAUAGCACUACUUUUAGCCAUGACAUUACAGAGCAAGGUGUAAGACCUUCUGAUCACUCACGCAACACAUCAACAUAUGGUUUGGAUAUUCCUCUCUAUUUCUAUUGUACAAAACACACAUGUAUUUCUCCUUAUCCUAUAUACCUAAGAAGUUCACCCCCACUAACCUAUUUAUCUUAACAUGCAACAUGUCCACAUCAGCAAUUUAGCCACGACAGCCAUGCUUGACCCACCUGAGGCAAGACCAGACCGCCUCCUCAGGGUCAACUGAACCACCAAAGCUGUAGUAACGCAACAAGAUAAUCUGGUCACCCAAACGUCUCAUGACCCAUCGUUUCCUCUUCGGCUUCUGUAUGUAGUAACAGAUGAUCACAUCCCAGAUGGAUCUUCAGUUUCGCUUCCUUUAUCUCCCCGCUUCCCACAUCAUCUCACGGAGCUGCAGCCACCAAAACCACGUGCGACCUCAUAAUCAGGCAGAUCAAGCUCGAUGCUCCUCCACCGUGGUGCACUUCGACGGAAACAUCGCACGCCUGCAGCGCUCCCAUGGCGCCCCACAUCUGGUUCGAUCGCCCGUCGAUGUCCUCCGUCCGCCGUCUGCAUUGGCUUCACCCGCCGGCGGCUGCCCGUCACACCCCACCCGGAGACGGCGUGGCACCACCAGCAACUUUGCCGCCGCCCAUUGUACAGCCCUCAGCCCGUACUCCUUUGGCUCCGGUCUGGAGUGCGACCAGCCGGUUGGAACGACAUGCUUUUGGAGAUGAAGAAGAGGGGCUAUUUGCACCAGGGAUCUGGUCGCCUCUGCCAAACUUACUUUCUUACCCAUGUGCAAACUAAACUCUAUAAUAAUGGGUAUUAUAUUCGUUGAUGUUUCAGAUCUGCCCUAUACUUUGCUGAGUACAUUUUACUCACUUUUGUGUUUCCUUUCUUGGUUUUAUUUAAUUUUCAUGUACCCAGACACACGUGUCUAUACUAUAUUCACUACUCCUGCCUUGCCUUCAAAGGUGUAGAGAAUUUCACUCAUGAGAGGUUAACUGAUCCCUUUUAUGUUAAUCCCCGAUUAAAUCCCCUAAUUAACCUUGAUGUGCUGUUAUUUUUCUUAUUCCUUAAUAUUUUUCCACUCUUGCAGAAGUUACAUGCUGACAUUUUGCUUUGGCAUGCUUCGAUCCUUGCACUGUCUUAGGUUCUUCGUGAUUCCUCCAUGGAUUCAUUCCUAACCCUCCUCCACUAUUUUGCCACUUCAACAGGAAGUUAUCCUACAGGAUGCGUAGUUGGUUGCAGGUAAAAUAAGAUUACGACAUCACCUCCCCCCCUCCCCCCCGCGUGCGGCGGCGCCGCGCCGCACCGGGGCCUCCCCGCUGGCCCCCCUCUCCUCCCCGCCAAGCCUCCCUCUCCUCCCGCUGCCGCCGCCAAGGGCAUCGCAGGCUAAGCCCGCGGGCCGCAGCGGCGGCGGCGGCAAUCUUCCUCGGCCGGCGAUCGGAUCUGGGUGGCGACGACCCACUCCGGCCGAUCCAAGGGCGAUGGCGCAGGCCGGUGGCGACCAGGGUUGUCGUGCUGGUGGCGGCGACGAAGAGAUCACGUCAGCGGUUAGGGUGUCCGAUCUGGAUCCCAUUCGGAUUUGGAUGGUGGUUCCUCGAGCCGUCGUGCGCAUCCUUUGUUCCGGCGCAGCAAGCGGCCUCUGUACUAGGCACGUGACACGAGGACGUCGGGGGCUCCGGCCCUUGGCGUGGAGGUGGUGACCAUCUUCUUCGCCGGAGGUGGUCGGCUAGAUGGUUGUGGAUUCUCGCAUCCAGUCCCGGCAUACAGUGGGGAGACGGGGCUGCCGGUGAAAACCGUGCUAUGACUCGGGUCAUGGCGGGCGAUGGCGGCGUUUUUGCGUCGUUAUCUUGUUGAAGACAUCGCCUCUGCAACUUCUGUCGACUUACUUGCGCUGCUCUGGGUGAAAACCUUGAUCCGGAGUUUCCGGAUCGGACGAUGGCGAUGCUUUUGGGGUGUCGUUUUCCCUCAUGGGGGCAUCAUUUUUUGAGCAGCAGCUGGAUGCAGGAUCAGAGGACGGAUUAUUUGGUGGAGCGGUGCGGCAUCUCACUCAUUGAUGGCGGCGGGUCUCGGCGGCAUGGCGCUGUGGUGACUCUGCGUCCGACGCACAGAGAUGGACUCGCGCAGGAGGGUGACGCGGUCUGGCGUCGUGGUGGCGUCGACGGCAGCUAGACCGAGCAACGUAGAUGCAGCAGUACAGCUCUGAAGAUGGAUUGGUGGCAGGUGGCUGCAGCGGCCUCAGACCCGGCAGGCGACCUGGUUGAGGAGUGCGCUGGACUAGUAGGUGACGCGUACCCGACAGGCAUCCUGGAUGGGACCUCAGGUCUUAGAUGUUAGGUUUGGCUGCGAGGUCUGUUUGGUGCUAGGCCAGACUAUCAGCAUCCCUUUAUCUCUUGGAUAGGAGUAGCGACACUUUUGUUGCCUAGACGGUUGCUUCAGUCUUACUGUUGUAUGACUUUGUAAGGUUUUGUGUGAAUAAUUAAUAAAGUGGCUGCAUGCAUCGUCCAGAUGUAGAGGCCGGGGGUCCUCCUCCAUUUCAAAAAAGAAAGAAAGAGGUGUUUGAUGGAUUCAUCCCGAUCACAAUAACUACAUCUUGUAGAUCCAGUCCAGUUGCGUUUUGCCAAGUUGUCCUUAAUUAAAAAUGACUUGUUUGUGUACAAACCACAUAAACACUUUAACUCUCAAAGGUACUUUGACAUGCCAAACAUGUUUCGAACUAGGAAUAGAGAUAGAGUUGAUAACAUCCAGAUACAUGGAUUUAACCGUAAACUCUCCAUUCCUAGUUAGCUUCCAGCACAACUUAUCGGGUCGUUGAGAAGCUGAACAUCCAUCAGUCGUCUCACAAGAUGGAGCCAAGCUUCCCAACAGUUUUCGGCUAGCGUUCUCCUGAAGUGAACAUUGAGAGGUGUGAACUGUACUACUGUCGCAAUGGAUGCAUCUCUCCGUUAAACAAUGCUAUAGAGAGAAGGAUAUUGAAGCGCGAUGGGUGAGUCCUCUAGCCAUGUAUCCUCCAAGAAACUUGUAGAGGUACCGUUAUCGACAAUAAAUUUUGUCCUAUUAAAAAAUCUGAUUUAACUCUUAUCAGUCCUUUCCAGAAAGGCGAAUCCGUCGGCCUCACUGUCACCUGGGACAAAAUUUUGGAAUGAAGGUACUUAUUACGUAAAAUAUGUGCCCAUGUGGCCUUCGUCUCUACAGAUAGCUUAUACAACCAUUUGCUGAGGAAACAUCUGUUCUUCACCUCAGGAUUUUCGAUACCUAGACCUCCUUGGUCUUUCGGUCGACAAAUAAUAUCCCAUUUAGCGAGUCUGUAUUUUCUCUUCAGAUCAUCACUCUGCCAGAAGAAGCGGGAUCGAUAGAAAUCUAGUCUUUUCCGAACUCCAACUAGUACCUCGAAAAAAGACAAUGGAAAAAUGGGCAUACUCUUGAGAACCGAAUUAAUGAGGAUUAAUCGGCCCCCGUAUGACAUCAGCUUGCCCUUCCAGCAGCUAAGUUUCUUCUCAAAUCGAUCCUCAAUUCACUUCCAUUCUCUGUUUGUUAGCUUACGAUGAUGAAUUGGUAUACUCAAAUACGUGAAAGGUAAAGCCCCCAAUUCGCACCCGAACAAUUGUUUAUACGCCUCUUGCUCCUCAUUGGCUCUUCCAAAACAGAACAAUUUGCUUUUGUGGAAAUUAAUCUUUAACCCGGCCAAUUGUUCAAAUAAGCAUAACAGCGGCUUCAUGUUUCUCGCUUUUGCCAAGUCAUGCUCCAUGAAGAUGAUAGUAUCAUCCGCGUACUGUAGGACAGACACACCUCCAUCAACUAGAUGAGGUACUAGGCCACCUACUUGACCAGCAUCCUUAGCCCUUCCUAUUAGAAUCGUCAACAUGUCGACUACAAUGUUGAACAGAAUAGGUGACAUCGGAUCUCCUUGUCUCAGGCCCUUAUGAGUUUGAAAGUAGUGACCUAUGUCGUCAUUCACUUUAAUUCCAACACUCCCUUUUUGUGUGAAAAGUUCUACCUGGUGCCGCCAGGCUGGAUCAAAACCUUUCAUAUGCAAGGCCUGUUGAAGAAAUGGCCAUUUGACUUUAUUGUACGCUUUUUCGAAAUACACUUUGAAAACAACCAUGUCUAGUUUUUCGUGUGAAUUUUAUGGAGCGUUUCAUGAAGGACCACAACCCCUUCUAGGAUGUUUCUGUCCGGCAUGAAAGCAGUUUGGGAGGCUGCACCACAGAGUGCGCGAUCUGCGUGAGUCUACUAGUCCCUACCUUGGUGAAAAUUUGAAAACUUACGUUUAGAAGACAGAUUGGCCUGAACUGCUCAAUUCUCACAACCACUGUUUUCUUAGGAAGCAAAGUUAUUGUUCCAAAAUUCAAAUGAAACAAUUGAAGUUGUCCAGAGAAUAAAUCAUGGAACAUCGGUAUCAAUUCCCCUUUAAUAAUAUGCCAGCAUUUUUUAUAAAACCCCGCCGGAAAAUCAUCCGGCCCCGGAGCUUUAUUAUUCUUCAUCUGUGAAAUAGCUUCAAACAGCUCUUUCUCCGAAAAUGGGGCGGUUAAUAAAGCGUUCUCUUCUGCAGCAAGUUGAGGGACAUCCUCAAUUCUCGACUCAUCUAAGGAGACGAAAUUAUCCUCCGGAGGCCCAAAAAGCUGCUUGUAGUAGUUGGUUAUGUAUAAUUUUAGGUUUUCCUGUCCUAAAAUCGUCCCCUCAUCUUGCUCAAGCCGAAAGAUUUUUUUUCUUUCUAUGCUUGUCAUUGGCGAUCAUAUUAAAGAAUUAAGUGUUGGCGUCCCCUUGAACAACUUUGCGAACCUUAGCCCGCAAUGCCCAUUUCAAUUCCUCCUCUCGCAGGAGUUCUUUCAAUCUCAUCUCUGCGUCAACUUUAGUUACCAUGACUAAGAUAAUCUCCUAUGAGCUGCCGACCAGCUCUUCAUCGGAGACCAGCAAUGGCAAAGGGAAGCCGUCGCCGGCACCGCACCUUGCUGACGGCGACGGCGGCAUAGUGUUUCGGGUGCGUAUGUGGGCUAUAUCUAUAUACUUUAUACCAAGCCUACAAAUUCGAUCUAGGUUUUACUCACUUGCCUACCAAUUGUUAAUGACCGUGUUCAUGUGAGUUUAUACUUCCAUCAAAUCCAUGCUUGACGAUGUGCUUGCAUGCAGCACCUGACGGUCAGUGUGAUCAUGUUUCCAUCCUUCUGCAUCUCGGCCGGCAAUGUAUGGACGGACGCAGGCAAUCAUUGGUGCAACAUGAUCACCGCCAUCGUCUUCCUCUACUCCACGGUCAUGAUCCACCUUCUGCUCAUGAGACGUCGGGAUCAGAAGAAGAUACGGGAGCUCGAAUCGUGCGAGUGAUUAUUAUUAGCACACCCAGGGAUUGUGUAUGUACCGAUCGAUUCUUGGCACCUAAUAAUUCACCAAUAUAUUCUAUUUUGCUAGGCAACAUAUGUUCUGACCCUUUAAUUGCUUCGUGCAGUUGACAUCAGUGUUGACGGCGGUCGCGACCGUGAUCAUGUUAAUCUCCUUGGGUGUCGCCCUCUUCGUCUCUCGCCCCGCUUGGUCCGACCUGGCCUCCAUUGCUCUGAUGCUCUUGGCAAGCAUGGGGUUGACGUUUCUUUCGCUCAAACUUGAGGAAUAUGAGAGGAAAAAGAAGCUUAAGGAAAAACAUGAAAAUGCCUCUGAUCUCGUCUAGUUCCAGUGUAAUUGUAUGUAAAAUACAACUGCUUACUUUGGUUUAUUUUAGUAAGUAUAUAAACUCAACAAAAGCUCACAGAAGAAGAAGAUCCCAUGUCAUGGUACUUUUGAGGGUUUUUUUUUUUUUUGAGGAACCGGCAGAAGCACCAUCUACUUGAGAGAAAGAGAUGAACCAAAUUAACAAAGAGUUGCACGUUUUGCGGGGAAACAUGGGCGAAACCAAACACUACACAACUAUAUGGUAAAUUUAGGUGGUGUUUGGUUCUUUACUCCUAGGACUUUUUCUAGUCCCAACUAAAAAGUCCCUAGUCCCUAAAAAGUCCCUCUCUGUUUAUUUUCAGAGACUAAAAAGUCCCUAGUUCCUUGCUAGAGGUCAUUAAAUGACCAUGUUGCCUCUAGUAUAUAGAAAAAUAACAAUCAAAGAACAUCAUGGGGUGGCGGGCCAAUGGGUGCAUGAAGGGGCAUUGUUGGAAAAGUCUCAAAAAGACUCUGCUUGAGAGUCUUCUUCAUUUAGUCCCAAAUGCCUAGUUUAGUCCCUAAAAAGUUCCUCCCGUUUGGUAAAAAAGUCUCUAAGAAAGACUUUUUCUACUCCCUACACAAAAAAGUCCCUAAAAACAAACACCUCCUUAACCGAUGCGAAUGGCCGGCACGGCACAUGCAAGCGACAUCUGCCCCCACUCCAUCUGUAUGGGCAUUAAACAUGAUCGAGAUCAUGUUGGAAAUAUAGAAGGGCCAUGUCUCCCCACUAAUUUAAAUUAUAUAUAAACCAGUUGUAGAGAUUGCAAUGGUUAACCAAAAUACUCGAGACUCUUAUGAAAUGAGAUUGAACGUCGAGGUCAUGCCUCUCCACCUAUUUCCAUGGUGGAAUCCAGUGGAGAUUAUAGCCGAAAAAUACUCAAAAUCAAAGUAGCAUAUAUGUCACAGGAUCUUCUAUAAGCUUUUGUUGGGUUUAUACUUACUAAAACAAACCAAACUAUACCGUUGUAUUUUUAGAUACCAUUACUCUGGAACUAUACGAGAUCUGUGUUCAAAAAAAACUAUACGAGAUCUGAGGCAUCUUCACAUUUUCCCUUAGGAAUCUUCUUCCUCUCAAUUUCCUCAAUUUUGAGCAAAAGAAAUGUCGACCCCGUGGAUAACGCUGGUCGUAACGGAAAGUAUCAUAUACUAGUAUCAUGCAUAUGAUACUAGUGUAUGAUACUACAUCCGUAGUGCAUAGUAUCAUAUGUUAGUAUCAUAGAUGACUUCAUUUAUUAGCAUGCAUGACACAUAAUAGCACAACAUUUAAUAUGAUACGGUAUCAUGAUAUGAUACUCAACCUUCUCUUUUUUCAUUUAAUUCUAUGUCACCUCAUUAAAUUUACCUAGUUGACAUGCAUGAUACUAUCUAUGAUACUCCCAUUACAACUAGCCUAAGGAGACCAUGAGAGCAAUGAACGCCAGGUCAGACCAGGCGGGGCGAAAGACGAAGAGCACGACCCCAAGGGAUAAUAACAUCCCCAUCGCAGCAACCGUCAACACUGAUGCCAUCUGCAUGCAAGAAACAAUUAAUAAUCCAUGAAAGAAUAUAAUGACAACGUGUUGAAUAGCAAAACAAAUUUAGUGAUGUUAAUUAGGUGCCAUGAAUUAAUGCAUCAAUCGAUACAUACACAAUCUGUGGGUGUGCUGAUAGCAAUCACUUGGCAUGAUUCAAGUUCGCUCUUCUUGUUCCGAUGCCAGCAUUUGAUCAGCAGCAGAUGGAUCAUGACCAUGGAGUAGAGGAAGACGAUGGCGGUGAUGAUCACGUUGUACCAAUGAUGCCCCGCGUCCUAUACAUGUGCGGCCGAGAUCACGAAGAAUGCAGACAUGCUCAAACUAACCAGCACGUGCUGCAGAAUUAACAAAUUGAUGGAAGUACAAACUCACAUGAGAACAUUCAUUAAUAAAUUAUUAGCCUUGGCACGUAAUGUAAAUAACACUAUGGUAUAGCUAGCGCAUGUACGCACCCGAACAACACUGUCGCCGCCGUCGUCAUCAAGGUGCGCCGCCGUCGACGGCUGCCCUCUGCCAUUCGUGGCCUCCGUUGAACUGCUGCUCAGCGGCUCGUAUAAGCUUUUCUUCGUCAUGGUAACUAACAAACUCUUCCUGCGGGGAAUCGAGGAGGGGGAGUAGCUAGGUCGUGGUCGUGACAACCUCUUAUAUAUAACUCUGGCGAUGUUGCGCCGGAUCGAAACUCAAAGUCGUCACUGGUUAUGAGUCUAUCUUGAGUUGCUAACAAACUCUUGUCUCUUGUUUGUUUAGAGAACCAAACUCUUAUCUCCGAUGCUAGACUUUGACCGCGUACGUACGACCAUCUUUCUGGUGUGGCUGAUAGCAGCCCAGUUUACAAGCAAAAGUUCAAAGCCCGGUAGUUGGCUGAAGUUACAGUUGAAGAGAUCGCUAAAACGGCCUGGCAAAAGGCUAAUCAUCGGGGCUUGUGUAAUCUAUCUAUUAUUAUAUAUAAAAAGUAUUUGACCGGUUAAUUAGAAAAAGUUAAUUAUGUAAGAAAUUACCACAAAACUUAGAAAGAUCCAACCGUUAUUUCUUCUUUUUUUUUGAACUGAUCCAACCGUUAUUUCAAUAGACUAAAAAACAGCAGCCAUUAGAUAAUAUUUAAGUGGAAAAAAUUAAAGUAUUUGAUGGGUUAACCAGAAUUAGAUAAUACUAGCACAUAUGCCCGUGCGUUGCAACGGGAGAAAAAAAUCUUGCAUGCCCUUAACUCAAUAACCAUAUCUCAAGACUUCCAAAUGUGACGUCAUAUAUUUCAACACGGCACCACACCCCUGCCGCCUCUUAUACUUCUUCCGCCCUUAUUGAUAGUUGCCGCAUUGUCCACUUGGUCAUACCACGUCCGAAAGUUGUCAAUCUUGGGGCGAUCAACUUGGCCACUGCACGACACACCUGUCAUUGAAGUGUACCAAUGCAAGGGGACGUUUAAAAUUUUAGAAACUAUAAUCUCAUCAAGUUGGCGUAAGGGCCGCCCUGCGCAAUCUACUCCUCGCACCUGGUCCAUGGAUCAUCCCGCAUAAGGAUUGACAACAAUUAGUAGCGGGGAAACACUACCAAACACUUCCAUACUUUUUUGGGAUAUAUAAGACAUGCACCUUCUAUGAAGACAAUUUAUUUUGUAUAUACCUAAAGACAAUUGUCUUGUUUUCUACUUGCAUGUAUAAAUCUUCGCCAUAUACUUCACAGGCGAUCUAGGUAUAUAUGCUUCCCGCGUGUGUGCUAACCUAUGUACAUAAUGUUAGUCCAGCAGUGUGCAAUCCUAUUUAGACUAUGGAUGGUGUUCACUUCGUUUCUAACUUUAUGUCGUAGUAGUUAUUACUAUGCUUCCCGCGAGUGUGCUAACACGUGUAAAUAUGUUAGUCCAAAAAUGUCGUAUCCAAUUUGGACUAUGGAUGGUGUUCGUUUCCUCUCCGGCUUUUAUGUCGGCUAGUAGUUAGUACCACUCUACCAGUCUGUGAAGGACACAAAUAAACACCAAAUCCAACUUCAGUUAACAACGAUCAUCGGCAAAACCUCUUCAUGUUUAGUUAUUUUCCAAGUCAAUUAAAAAAAGAUCAACACCACUCACGCUUUUCUAUCUUGAGCCUUUCAACCUGGCACGUACGUGCAUGGCAAGUUUGAAUUAUUCACAUCCUCUUCUCUUAGUCUCUCCAGCUAUUUUUCAUCCAUUGAUCAGGGUAACAGAGGCAACGUGAAUCAACAUGCAUAUCCACCGUCCUUAAAUUAUUCACGUCCUCAUGAAUUGUUUAAUAGCCCAUAUUAUAUAUAGAAAGUUAAUUAUCCUCUCUUUCCAGCAGCCCAUAUUUAUCGUCUCUUUCCUUCCUUAGCUUAGCCACCUCUAUCCUUUCUUAGCUUAGCGUCUAUAUAUAUAUAUAUAUAUAUAUAUAUAUAUAUUUCCUUCAUUAGCCUCUCUUCCUUCCAUGAGCUCUUCUCUGUCAUAAUCCUCUUCCUGAUACCGAAGGAACUGAGAGACGUAUAUAAGUUGGGUAUAUUGUAUGUAAGGGGGCGAGGUGGGAUAAUUUAACAACGCAAUCAACUUUGAUUCGUACACACAACAGGGGCUAGUUCACUGGCCACAACAUUGUUUGCUAUCCUGGAGGUUGUGAGUUCGAUACCUUCACCAGCAAAUAAAAUAGGAUUGUGGGUCCAAUUGUCAACAACUUCAGGGAUUUUUUUGCAAAAACGCCGCAACGGUGAAUCCGGCAAAAUCAAUCCGUGCUUUAUUAUUAGAGAAAGAUUUACGUGAAAAAAAUUACAGUAUUUGACGGGUUAACCAGAAAAGGUUAAUUAUGCUAGAAAUUACCGCAAAAAUUAGAAAGAUCCAACCGUUAAUUCAAUAGACUAAAAAACGGCAGACAUUAGAUAAUAUUUAAGUGGAAAAAAUUACCCACCUUUGCCAUUAGAUAAUAAUUGUAUUAAAAUUAAAAAUGAGGCAAACUUUAUUUCACAUAUAUCUACGCGAGUUUCGUGUGGGUAAUCAAUAUGCAGAUAUUGACCAUGAUAUAUAAAACAACAAUAGAGAAUAGUGCUGUCCUUUUCUCUUCUUCUAAUUAUAAACUAAUCGGUUGAUUUACUGAAUGUACCCUCACUAUAGUCGCCAAAAUCAUCAGUUCGCCAUUAGUUGUUUUGUAUAAUGUGUGUGAGUGGCCUCCAACAGGAUUUGUAGUAUCUGUCUCAAGUAUUGUAUAUUCAACAGGCUGGCGUCAUUCAUAUCGGCCUACAUGUGCAUAGAAUACAAGGAAAGUCAACACUAGCAGAUCAAAUCUCAGGUAGCAGAUCAAAACUUCGUAUUUUGCCAAGUUCAUUUAGUCGGGAUCUCGUCAAACUUAUGUAUCUACUGAGUUUGGUCCAAACUUGCACUCGGCAUUGAGAUGAAACUUGGCAAACUUGAUAUUUUGCCUAGUACCCGCGAAACAAGACUGGGAGAAUGGAAGAAACUCGGCAGUCUCUCAAGUUCACCGAGUUUAAAGUCUGGCAGGUAGGCCCCAUGGAGGAGCCGACGACUGCGAUAGCACCGAUUUACCUGGUUAUUAUGCUCUUGAUGAGCGCAUCCUACCGUGUGUGGGGGUUAUGGCCCCCUUGAACCCUUUAUCUAGCUUUCAACUUUUCUACAGAGGCUAACAUUGGUACCAAAAUUUGCUACAAAAACUCUCACAGUGUGUGACGACAUCUGAGGAUAAAAUUCGCAUAGGGGAUUAUGUCCACGAGGAUUAAUCAUACAAAGGUGGGCCAGUGCCAAAGGUGUUAGUCCGAAAAUAGAGCCACUUGCGACGCCACCACACGAAACUCUAGUUUGGCUUGCCAUAAGUCUAGCUCAUCCAUCAGGUCUGGAAUCUAUAGAUAUGCUGGCUCUACUCCAGGGUCGACUCCACCAGCGACCUUACUGGACUAGAUUUACAUUAGCUACAGGACUUGUUACUUCUAAACUCCUGGGACGCAUCAAGUUUACAUGUUAAUGAGGUUUCGGGGUAUGCAUACGAAACUUAUAAUGGGCGGUUGGACGCAGCUCUGCAUGGUUAAAUCUUUCGAAAAGUUGUGUCCAUGGUUACAAAGCGACUUGGAAAUUUAUAAUGUCUGGCAUAGAACAACUUCAACUAAUAACUAAUAUUUGCUCAAUCGUGUAUGUAACAUUGAGUGUCUCUUUUGGGGGGAAUGCGAGCAAGACGAGGACACAGGUUAACAAUGACUCGUAAGCAGGUGUUUAGGAUCACUUGUUGGUCAAAUAGUUGCGCCCCCUUGUGCUUAGGAAUUAUCUUAUCUUGUUCUAGUAUUCGUAGGACUAGUUGGCCUACAUUACUUAGCUGCUUGCUGCAACCUCACCAUUUAACCAUAUCCUGCCCAUAAGUGAUCUAGUCUUACUACCUUUUGUAAUGUUAUUGUUGAGUCUCAAUGACUCACCGAUACCAGAACAACAAUAGGUGCAGGUGCGGGUAAAGUUUUUCUCUAAGGCGAGAGCAUGAACGUUCUACGUGGAGUUUUUUUCAUUCUUGUUCGAUGAUGAUCAUUAGGAUGGUAUCUUGGUUGGGAUCCUAGGAAUAGCAGGAUGGAUGUUGCUUAUUUCUCUUGCCUCCUAGGCAUAUUUUCUUAUUGUCCUUACUUGGACCCGUGCCUUACUAGGAAAGCUUGGGUGAGCCAAUGUGGUCAGAAGCGGGCUUGGGAGCGGUUCAGAGACCCAUACAAACAUGCGUUGUAUGUCUUUCACAGACUGAACAGCACAGUCGGCACGUAUACGGGAGGUUUGAGGGUCGCGUGACAAGUUAUGCUCCAGCAUGUUUGGCAACUAAUUAAGCCCUCUACCCGUCUACCUUUGCCUCCAUUGCUUUGCAUUAAACUAAUUUGGUCAAAUGUGGGUACUACAUUUUGAUUUCGAUCAACAUCGUGAAUAUCGUGCAGUGAUACUACAUGUUAUUAUGAAACAUCUAUUAUUGGCUGCCGCAGUUGAUUUCUUUUUCUUAUCCUGCGAGUCCGUAUAGUGAGAGCAUAUUCACCUAGGAUAUCCCAUCCCGUCCCGUCCCAUCCCGUGUACGUACGGCCUUCCAAAUAGCGACUAGUCAACUUUUCCGUACAAAAAGAAUAAAAACUGGUCAAUGGGAUUACGUACACACUACACAUACUCCCCUCCCCUCCCCUGUUUUCGUUCUUUCGCUGGUUCUUCCACCCCCCUCGACCGCGCGCCAUUGCCGGGAGAGCAAGAAACUCAGUUGGAAGGAUCGAUCAACCGAUAUAGCUGGGUACAUGGAGGAAGCAGCAGCCGGCUCCGGCGAGGAGGAGGUGUACUGCGCGGUGGGGAAGGAGCAGUGGAACUGGAAGGCGAACCUGCGGUGGGUGCUGGCCAACUUCCCCGGCCGCCGCCUCGUGCUCGCCCACGUCCACCGCCCGCCGCACCGCAUCAACAUGAGUAAGCCUGCUUAACUACUUCUCUGCUUAAUUAUGUCCCAAACACUCUCUGAUCCGGCGGGAUGGACGACGAGCUGUAGUGGGGGCGUGGGUGCCGGUGAGCCAGGUGGGGGCGGCCAUGGUGGCCGCGUGCAGGAAGUGGGAGGAGGACGAGGCCAGCGAGGCCCUCGACCAGCUCGUCCGCAUGUGCAAGAUCCAGCGGGUUCGUUCCUGAAUCCUAUCCUUGGUUUGUUCACUAGUCGUUGUCAUCAGCAGCAAAUUAUUGCUGGCUCAACUCAUUGAACUAUCGAGUGCAAUAAUUACAGGUCCACGCGCGCAAGGUCAUCGUGUCCGGCGACGACCUGGCGGGCGGCCUGGUGCAGCUCGUCGCCGACCAUGCCGUCGCCGAGCUCGUCAUGGGCGCCGCCGCCGACCGGGCCUACUCGAGGUAUGUAUGUGUGGUUGCCGAGGGCUCAGACGUCACAGUCGGCCUGCCUCUUGCCUGUGGACAAUGUGAUGGAUGCUACGUUGUUGUCAGGAAGAUGCGGGCGCCCAAGUCCAAGAAGGCGGCGACCGUGCAGCUCAAGGCCAACCCCUCUUGCAGGAUCUGGUUCGUCUGCAAAGGCAAGCUCAUCUGCACGAGGUAUAUCACAUUCUCCAUGGAUGUUGUGCCGUCCUUUAUCCGAUGAUGCUGAUUGUUGACACGUACAGAGAGGCCAGUGAAGAGGGGCUGGUAAGCAGAGGAGAGCCAUCCACGGCGAGCACCAGCCCACGCCCAACCGCCUCCGACUGCUCGACAUCGGCAUCCUCGUCGCACCGCCACGGCGAUGGCGCCGCCGAGCGGCUCGGCAUCCACAAUGACUCGGUACGUGCAAGAACAAUGUGGCGAGAGUUGAUAGGGGUCGGGAUCAUCCAUUGUGUCGGUACGAUAAAUAGUCUCUGGGUGGUGAACCGUGCGUUCGAUAUGACAAUGUCAGGGUGACGCCGGCGAGAUGGACGAUGCGUUGGCGGAGAAGCUCAAGGCCGAAGGGACUCGCCGGGCACCUGUAGCUGCGGUGGAAUCUGUGCCCGUGACAGAUGGUGAUCAAGCUGUAGGUGUCUUGCGGUUCGGUUUGCCGGAGCUGGAGGAGGCGACAGGCCGUUUCGACGAGUCCUCCAGGAUCGGCAAUGCCGGCAUUGGCCGCGCCGGCGUGUACAGAGGGAGCCUGCGCGGCAUGAACGUCGCCGUCAGGGUCAUCUCCCCCGAUGCCGCCGUCGGCGAGGCGCGGUUCGCUCGCGAGGCGGACGCCAUCAGCCGGGUGAGGCACCCAGGCCUCGUGGCGCUCAUCGGCGCGUGCCCGGAGGCGCGCGCCGUGGUGCACGAGCUCGUGCCGGGCGGUAGCCUGGAGGACCGCCUAGCUCAAGGAGGCGACGGGACGCCGCCGCUGCCGUGGAGAGCGCGGUGCGCUGUGGCGUACCAGGUAUGCUCUGUUCUGGCAUUCCUUCACUCGUCAGCGAAGACAGUGCACGGCGACGUCCGCCCGGCGACCAUCCUCCUGCUCGAUGACGACGAGGAGGAGCACCUCCUCACCGGCAGCAAGCUCGCCGGCCUCGGCAUGCGUGGGCUCGUGUCGGAGCAGCGGCGGGCCGGCCGCGAAGCGCUGGCGUACGUGGACCCGCGGUACCUCGCGACGGGGGAGCCGACCCCGCAGUGGGACGUGCACGCCCUGGGCCUGGUGCUCCUCCGGCUGGUCGCGGGCAUGACAGCGCGCGCGGCAAAGAAGGCGGCUCGGGAGGCCGCCGCCGACGGGCGCAGGGGCUGGAGCGAGGUGGUGGCCGCGAGCGCGGGAGGGUGGCCGUUGGAGCUGGCCACCGAGGUCGCGCUCCUCGGCCUGCGAUGCUGCGCCGUGAGCGACGGCCGAGAGCCGUGUCGCCCGGCCGGUGAGCUGCUCGAGGAGGCGCUUACCGUGCUGAAGGCAGCGAUGGACGCCGCACCGGGCAGGACGUGGACGUCAUCACUGUUAUCGUCGUCGGAGACGGGGGCGUCCCACGGCGGCGGAUCAGAGUGCCACCAGCAGCAGCAGCGGGUCCACAAGGUAGUUGAUGCAGCGGCACAAUGAUUUUUUAGUCGUCGGAGUCAAAUACUCCAUGUAAUUUACGAGUGUGGAAAACAUUCAUUGUUUGGAGACGGGAAUGGGAAAAUAUCUGGUCCUCGAGGAGCAUCUAUCUAAGCUCAUGCGCUGCCGUGCGAGCUCGCCCGUUGGAUCUCAGAUCCAAGGGCUCUGCCAACCGUUGAGGUGGUGAUGUCGCUCUGCGUGGCAUUGAGCCGGCGAUGUACGAUUCCACUCCUCUCAGCUGGAGGAGGCGACAGGCCAAACGUUGUAAAUAUAAGGUCAUCUUCAAUGUUGACCCGCAAAUUUGCUCCGGCGUCUGUCAACAUAUAGGGGACCAGUUCAUGGACAUUGAUAUUGAAGGCCGCCAUACAACAUUGUCCGCAUGCAUUUCAUGCCGCAUUUGAACUAACCGGAUGAAAUUCAUGCGAACCGGCCGAUAUUCAUCAAAUUUGAGUAGAAAAUAGGAGGAAUCAUCUAUACAUAGCAUGCAAAUAAGUCUAGUACAGGAAUGCCUCAAAUUUAACGAGAUUAACCAGAUGUCCAACAAGUUUUUCAUCAAUGUAUCAUGUUGUCCUACACAUACUGCUCCUUCAGCUUCAUUCAACAGUGUGUGUAUAUAAAUGACCGUCCCUCUGUCAUGUGGUACAUCACGAUAGCACUUGCGGGCUACAUAAUGUGUAGACCAAUAUUGAGUGAAUGAAUGAUUUAAACAAGUUGAGCAAGAGGCAAAACUUACGAUCUCCUCAUCUACCGCGUGCAAUUGCCACCUUGCCUCCAACAGACCAACCACAUGACAAAACUUGGUGAUGCUGGUCUGCAUAGGUACCAGCGAUACAAUAACGACAUCACAUUGCGUUCUUGAAUAAUGUGCAUGUCCUAGGGCGCAAUGUGUUUCAGUGUGUGAAACGAUUCAUGUAGUUGCUGGCAGAAGGUCCCCCCCCUCCCUCCUCUGCUCCCGCCUAAGAAAUAUACGGAUACGGCCAACCAUGCAUUGCACAACAUCUCAUCCUCCAUGGCCGAGUACCCCGCCAUCCUUCGUACUCUUAAAAAACGACAUGGCAUCCAAAAUUAAGCUAAAUGACAUUUGAUCGAACACCUGUCGGGCGUGGUGUCCUCCAUGGAGAUCAUCGACAGAGGGGCGGAGUGUUCCUGGGUACAAACGACUCCAAGGUGGACAGCACCGUCAUAAUGGUGAGUGGGCGUCUGUGCUAGUCUGGACGUUCGGCAAUGUAGUCGGUCUAUGUUAAGAGAAAGUUUGAACAUUUGAGAUAUGUCAAUGUGUCUUUAAUCUGGUGAGAGAAUGCCAUGAAAUGUGCCUAUUUUGGAAAUUUUAGUUCGUAUGUAGUUUUCUAUUUGGGUUUUAAUUUAUGUUAAUGCUUACUAGCAAAAGGGCCCGUGCGUUGCAAUGAAAGGAAAAAUCAUAAUCUUCAACAGUCAUGACAACAUUUUGCUGCAUCACCGAUAACAUUUUGACAAACAUUUUGUUCAAUUUCAUUAAUAUUUUUAGUACACAAUUUUUUUUAAAAAGACAUGAAUAUUUUUAUGAAACCAUGAACAAUUUCAAAUUCACGAACAUUUUUUCAAUUAUUGCGAACAUUGUUUUUUAAUGUUCUGAACAUUGUUCUGAAUUGCCGAACAUUUUUUGAGUCAACAAAGAUUUUUUUGAAAUUUUCAAAUUUGCGAACAUAUUUUUAAUUAUUGCGAUCAUUGUUUUGAAACUUUUGAACAUUGUUAUGAAUCGCCGAACAUUUUUUGAUUCAAUGAAGAUUUUUCGAAUGCAUGCAAUUUUUAUAAAACUUGUGAAAAUUUUGUUUAAAUCGGCGAAAAUUCUUAGAAUAGCUGCUCAAAUUUUGAAAUGAUUAAUUUUUUUAAAAUUCAUGAAUAUUUUUUGUUUAAUGAUUUUUUUAAAUGCAUGAACCUUUUUUAAUUUCUUGUUCAUGUUUUUAAUGUUUUCGAAAUUUUGUUAACAUUUUCAAAACUUGUUCACGUUUUAAAAAUUGUUCAUUUUUUCCAAUUCCAUUCACUUUUUCAAAAGUUGUGUUUUAUAAUUUUGUUCAUGUUCGAUCACUUUUUCAGAAAAGCAAUUGAUGUUUUUAAUAUUUUUCUAGAAUUUCAAAACUUGAUCACAAUUUCAAACACUGUUUUUUUUGCAAUUUUUUCGUAUUUGUUUUUCCAGUUUCCAAAAAUUGUUGAAAAUUUUCGUUUUUUUAAUCUGCCGCUGCAUUUGGUUUAUAAAUGUUCGCGCUGUGCAUUAAUUGCUUAUUGGCAGUAGCCCAAGUGGUAAGCAUCAUUGUGUGUCCAUCAAGGUGUUGUGAGUUCGAUUCCUAAAGGAGCACAUUUUUUUGGAAUUUUCGGCUCGUAUUGUGCCAGUGAAUGGACCGGCCCAUUAAGAUUGUGGCCUGCGCUCUGGUUGUUUGAUGGGCCAGACGUUUUUCAUGGUGGGGACCGGCCCAUUAAGAUUGUGGCCUGUGCUCUAGUUGUUUGAUGGGCCAGAUGUUUUUCGUGGUGGGCCUGAAGCUAACUCGUCUCAGCCGAGUGACGAACUAAUGGGAGCAACUAGUUAACGAGCGCUCCUCAAAUGGACUGGAAGCGGCUUUGGAAAACGACGGUCCCUGUUAAAAUCAGGGUCUUUUUGUGGAGAUUCGUCAAUCUAUCCCAACGGAAGAUGUCAGAUUGCAUCGGAAUAUGACCACAAGCAGCUCGUGUGCCAUUUGUGGAACUCCGGACUCUUGGAAGCAUAGUUUGAUUGAGUGUACUGCUGCCCGGUGUGUUUGGUCAUUGAUGGAUCAGGAGCUAAUUGAUGAUCUGCGAAGUAAUACUGAAAAUGAUGCAAAGAAGUGGUUAUUCACUAUGAUCGGAAAACUUUCUCAUGACAAGUUCACCAAAGUAGCAGUUACCUUUUGGGCCAUAUGGUGGGUGAGACGGAAGCUGAUCCACGAAGGGUUGCAUCAAAGCCCUUUAUCCACUUACAUGUUCAUCACUCAUUUCUUAUCAGAGUUGGAUGUGGAAAAGAAUUCAAUACCGUCCCGUGUUAACAUCCCAGUUACUGCUGCACCAAGGAAAUGGAUUCCGGCCACUGGUGAUACUGCUAAGAUCAAUGUUGACGCCGUUGUUUUCCGUGGAGUAGGUGCAGCUGCCGCAGUUUGUAGGAACAAUAACGGGCACUACUUGAGGUCUUCGGUGCUUGUUACUAGAGGAUUGGUUGAUCCGCCAACUUUGGAAGCUAUGGCGUGCAGAGAAGGAUUGUCGCUAGCAAAAGACCUGGGGCUCCAGAACAUCGUGAUUGCGUCCGACUGUCAAGAGGUGGUGAAGCAUAUCAAAGCGAAGUCAGGUGGAAACUAUGGUGCAGUUGUAAAAGAGAUUAUUUCAUGGCAUUCUUCUUUUACUUCUUGCUAUUUUAAGUUUGAAUCUAGAGUCUCGAAUUUUGAUCCUCAUAAACUAGCUAGGCAUGCUGUAAAAUUAGAUCAUGGUCGCCAUAUUUGGUUGGGGCAACCACAUGAUACUUCUGUAAUACCAGUAGCAAUACCAACUUAUGAAUAAAGCCUAGUUUGUUGCUAAAAAAAAGUUAACGAGCGCUCCUUCGGGGGCCUCGCAACUAUCAGCGCCACUUGGCACGCUCUCAGUCAUUCGUCACGUGUCGCGCUCUGGACGCUCCCUUCGGAUUUUUUUUUAUUUUUCCGCACGCGUUUUCGGCUUUUUAAACGGUUUUUUUGGUUUUUCGACGUUUUGGUUUUCCCCCAGUCUUUCUUAGCUUUUCGAUCAAAAAAAUGUAAAAAAAAAAUUCGCGAAAAAACGCGUUUUCUUCCUUUCGCAAAAGUCAAGGUUUUUCUUCCGCGAGAGGCACGGUUGUGCUUUAUCGAGAGUCACGGCCGUGCCUUUCGGAAAAGAAAAAAAAACAUGUUUUCUAUUUUUUUUCUUUCACGAGAGUCACAGCCGUGCCUCUCGGAAAGGGAAAAACAAAACGUGUUUUCUAUUUUUUUUCCUUUUGUGUGAGUCAUGGUUUUGCUUCCGCGAGAGGCACGGUUGUGCUUACGCGAAAGUCACGGUCAUGCCUCUCGGAAAGGGGAAAAAAUACGUGUUUUCUAUUUUUUUUUCUUUCGUGAGAGUCACGGUUUUGCUUUCGCGAGAGUCACGGCCGUGCCUCUCGGAAACGAAAAAAAAACGUGUUUUUUGUUUUUUUCCUUCCAUGAGAGUCACGGUUAUGUUUCUACGAGAGGCACGGUUGUGAUUUCGCGAGAGGCACGGGCGUGCCUCUUUCGGAAAGGGAAAAAAACCAUGCUACCGGUUCGGUUUUUUCGCCCGGUUGUUUUCGUCCGUUUUUUCGUGAAAAAAAUAGUUCGUCAAAACCUAUCAACAUGGGAUCUAGUUUUGAAGAUCUCGACGCGAGAAAUCCAAUGAUGAAAACGGUUCGAGAUUUGGACGCACGGUUGAAGAGAUAAAACGUUUUGAAUAAACGGAUCUGUGAAAAAAGGGAAAACUCCCAUGUUGCGACAAGUGGCGCGUUGCAUGUGCGCCAUUUGUCAUGACCUGAGAAAGUGGAGUGUUCUUUGCAACGAGUACUCCUUAAUUAAUGAUUUCGCGAACGAAUACAUCGACUUGUAAAGAAAAGCAAAUGAACGAACAGAUCGAGGCGUGCAGACGAGGUAGGAAGCCUUUUUUCGUGCAGACAACGUACGAAGCCUCUUUUUAUUAUAAAAAAAGUGGAGAAACAAUGCUUUUUUAAUAUUAGGUAAAGAUAAAGAUAAAAAUAAAAAUAAAGAUAAAGAUUUAUGUUUUGGCCAUAACUAGCAAAUGUGCCUGUGCAUUGCAACGGGAGAAACAAAUGCUUGCACGCCCCACCCAUCUUGCAACGGGAGAAACAAAUGCUUGCACGUCCCACCCAUCCAUGUUGUCAAUUCUAAUCUUUGCUGCCGUCACAAACGAUGACCAAGCUAUCCAUCUAUUCAACAAUGGUGGGUGGUCAGUUAUACAAAACAUUUGUAAUAAUGUGACCAGUUGAUGAAAUUCCAGUUUUCACGCAAAACCUGAAACCUUUGCAAGCGCAAAAUGUGAUCUCUACGCUAGAUAUGCGAUUGACAAAGAGAGGGAGAUGGGGUUCCUUGUAUCAGAUAAGUUGUCCAUAGCCAUCCAUGAUGCUGACCUCUAUCUUAAUGGUGACAGCCCGGACGGGCGGAGCUCCGGCUGUAGUUGAAACAGGUGUUUGUCUCUAGCUCCUACACCACGGUUUUUUUGAUGUUCAACGUGAUAGAGCCGGACCAUAGACACCUGCAAUUUUUUGUAUGUGCAUCAUCUUUUUUAUGGGAUAUUAUAUGUGUUAUAUCAAUGCACAAAAAAAACUACAAACUAUAUUAAAAGUGAAUUGUUUUUUGCAGCAUAUUAAAAGUGAAUAGUUAGUGUGUACAUUUGCUCGAGUAGUGGUUUGAGAAUUAACAUAAUCAUAACAUAAUUUUUUAGUCAGCACAAUACGAGAAAAUCAUGUAUCGUCGGGACACACUAUGCUGAUUCGAAUCCUUCCGCACAAGUCCUCGCCUUCAUUAAUUAAUUUAAUUAAUUCACUAAUUUAAUGAAGGCGUCCUCAUGCAUGUUCCAGGAAUCCCUCUCCAUCUUCCAUUAAUUAAUAGACCCCCUUAAUUAACUCUAAUCAGCUUGGUGGCUUGGGGGUACCCAAUUUAAGAGAGUUUAACAUGGCUUUGUUAGCCUCUUGGGCUAAAAGAUACUUCAUGAAUCAGGAUAAAGAUUGGGUGAGAUUGAUAGAUUAUAAAUAUAAAACUAAUAAACCUAAUUUGUUGUGGGCUAAACAAGAUGUGGGUUCGCCCUUUUGGAAAGGGGUUACCUGGCCCUUUGAAGGCAUAAGACCUUUUUUAGAUGGAAUUUGGAUAAUGGUGAUAAGUCAGCUUCUGGGAUAACACCUGGGUGAGGGAUUCUUCCCUGAAAACUCAAUUUUUGGGGGUUUAUGAGAUUUGUCAACAACAACAAUGUGUAGUGUCUGAGGUGUGGGAUCGUACCAACCUAAAGCUCACCUUUAGUAGAUGUGUAGAUGCUGAAUUUAUGAAAAAAUGGCGCGACCUGAUUCGGGUCAUCUCUACCAAACAACUCACCAAUGAGGAGGAUCACCCUGUUUGGCUGUUGGAACCAUUAGGGAUCUACUCGAUCAGAUCCUUUUACAACAUGAUUAACUGGGGUGGGGUCUCUACCCCACUUUGGAAAAAAUUCUGAAAAAUUGUUGUACCAAACAUAUACUUGGUCUUUGUGUGGUUGGCUUUUAAUAAUAAAGUUCUCACCUGAGACAACCUAAACAAGAGGAGGGUGGUAGAGAAUUUAAACUGCUUAUUUUGUAAUGAGAAUGAAUCAGUUCAUCACCUGUUCUUUGAGUGUGUGGUGGCCAAACAGAUCUGGAUUGAUGUUGUUGAAGUUUUUGGAUUCAAUAUUCCUAAAAAUAUGAUUGAGUUAUCUUCAUUCUGGGAAAUAAACAACAAGAAAACUGUUAUUAACAUUGCUUGUGUUGCUGCCAUUUGGGGCAUUUGGAUUAUGCAUAAUGAUAUUUGUUUUCAGGGCAUAUCAUGGACAAGCACUCGUGCGAUCUUGGAGAGGAUCAACUUUUCUCGACACCAGUGGAAGAUUCUCUGCGGAGGCGAUCAAUCAGUGCUGCUACGACACUGCCUCCAGCUUCUGGACCGUUGAAGAGGCGAGUUGCUCAGAAUCGCUUGGGUUGGGAACUGAGAGCGUGUGCAAAGAGGACCCGGGGUGGAAACAUGCUGAAAGCUCAUUCGGGAUGAUCUCGCGAGCAAGCUGAUGGUUGUUCUAUUCUCUGAGGAACAUUCUGUAUUGCUUGGCUGGUGGUUUCGGUGUUUGCCCUGCGUGGCACUAGACUCUCGCUUAGCAGUUUCUUGUUUCAGUUUUUCGGGCUAGCGCUUUAAGAUGUAGAGUUGCAUUUCUAUUCUCUGGUCGGCCACUUCCUGUAGACCCGAUUGCUUGUAACAGUCACCGUGACUUGCUUUCUCCGUUUUCUAUAAAAGUGGGGUGGGGGAAAACCCCUUUUGAUAAAAAAAAUUGAGAAAAAAUUCAAAAUAUAAGGUGUAUUGUGUUACACCACUCGUUUGAAUAAUUUUUUUAGGGAUUUGAUUACAUUUUCUUAUAUCAGACAAGCUUUUCUAUUUUCUCAAUUAGUCAUGUGUAAUCUCGUCCAAAACUUGUGAAAUUUUUUCUUCAUGUGCGUUCUUUAAUUUCCGUGCCAAAAACUAUACAUCCUAUAUUUAGAAACAGAGGAACAAGGAUGAGUGGUGUCAGUGUGUAAAAUUUCAGGGAAAUAUGUUGAAAUGUGAACUGUGCAAAAUAAUAGUACAAAUCCAUGCUCUGCGAGGACGAAUAAUAUCAUGUGUUAAAAAGACUCAGAUUUUUGUUUCACGGCCCUUAUUUCAACAUAUUUCAUCCUAAAAAUUUACACACUUGUGCAGCCUUCAUCUAUAUCUGUAUUUUUUUCAGAAUUUUUUUAAAUGUGAAAAUAUGACUUUCACGAAUUUUGAAUUUUGCAUGUGGAGGCCUUCAUGGAGCUUGGCCUCCAAAAGCAAUUUCCUGCUUCAACUUUCUUAUAAUUUCGUAGUGCUUAGUUAAAGCAUAUUUUUAUUUCGCUACAACAAUUUUGGAAAAAGCAUCAACCAUUCAGUUCAAGCUUAGGCCUUCAGCAUUACAGCAAGGGCCAACACCACAAUAACAGCAGUAAAAUCCAGUGAACCUACUCCAUUUCAUCGACAGACCGAGCACAUAACGAAACUAAGCAACAGAUACUCCAGACAGAGCACAUAACGAAACUAAGCAACAGAUACUCCACUAGGAAGCACAUCAGCAGAGCGAAAGACAUGACAGGCAGGUUGUUCUCUGUUUCCAGCACACAUAUCUACAAACAAGGCGGCACAUCAGCGGGGACUGACAGGGUAUGCAAGCUUCUGAUCUCGUCAGGCCCCAAUACCACCGGCUGCGGCGAAGACUGCUUCAGACCCUACUUGCUCUUGCUGCUCUUCGCCCGGAGCUCCGCGGCUCCAGCCUUGAUGCUGGACUUGGCGAGCGACGUGGGUUUCAGGACGCUCUUCGGGUUCAAUGCCUGCCGGAGCUUGAACACAGCCCACGCCGUUCCGAUGGCGUGGCCUGCCGC
rnacentral:lncRNA from 1 species